UCGAGAAUUUUUCUCAAUGGGGGAAACCCUGAAGGAGCGACGCCGCGUGAAGGAUGAAGGUCUUCGGAUUGUAAACUUCUGUCAUUAGAGAACAAGGCAGCAGGGAGUAACUGUCCUGCUGUUGAUAGUAUCUGAAGAGGAAGAGACGGCUAACUCUGUGCCAGCAGCCGCGGUAAUACAGAGGUCUCAAGCGUUGUUCGGAUUCAUUGGGCGUAAAGGGUGCGUAGGCGGCGUCGUAAGUCGGGUGUGAAAUCUCGGGGCUCAACUCCGAAAUUGCAUUCGAUACUGCGGUGCUUGAGGACUGGAGAGGAGACUGGAAUUCACGGUGUAGCAGUGAAAUGCGUAGAUAUCGUGAGGAAGACCGGUGGCGAAGGCGGGUCUCUGGACAGUUCCUGACGCUGAGGCACGAAGGCCAGGGGAGCAAACGG
rnacentral:rRNA from 1 species